rnacentral:rRNA from 1 species
UACGUAGGGGGCAAGCGUUGUCCGGAAUCAUUGGGCGUAAAGCGCGCGUAGGCGGCCCUGUAAGUCCGCUGUGAAAGUCAAAGGCUCAACCUUUGAAAGCCGGUGGAUACUGCAGGGCUAGAGUCCGGAAGAGGCGAGUGGAAUUCCUGGUGUAGCGGUGGAAUGCGCAGAUAUCAGGAAGAACACCCGUGGCGAAGGCGGCUCUCUGGUACGUGACUGACGCUGAGACGCGAAAGCGUGGGGAGCGAACAGG